UACGGAGGGUGCAAGCGUUGUCCGGAUUUAUUGGGUUUAAAGGGUGCGUAGGCGGCUUUUUAAGUCAGUGGUGAAAUCCUGCAGCUUAACUGUAGGCGUGCCAUUGAUACUGGAGAGCUUGAGUACAGACGAGGUUGGCGGAAUUGACGGUGUAGCGGUGAAAUGCGCAGAUAUCAGGAGGAACACCGGUGGCGAAGGCGGGUCUCUGGGCCGAUAUUGACGCUGAGGAGCGAAAGCGUGGGGAGCGAACAGG
rnacentral:rRNA from 1 species